rnacentral:tRNA from 1 species
GGGGGUAUAGCGCAGUGGUUAGAGAGAGAGCACCCGCAUACGUAUCGGAAGGUCGGGGGUUCGACUCCCUCUGCUUCCA